GGGGACGAUCGGUUUCGACGAUCUGAGGUGAUCGUGGAGAAGCGUGUCGUGGACGCCAAGUGACCACGUAAAUACCCCUUGCGCAACCCAAUAAGUGCCGAAUCUAAGCGCACUGACUUCGCCCUCGCUGCAUAAGUAGCGACGCGAGUCUGUCAGCCUGAGUUUGCCAUCGACUCAGUGCCUGGCAUCAGCUAGAUGGCCAAUGGAGUGCUCUUCUCGCCGCAAGGAGAGUACUCGACACUAAAUGCGGCUGGGUCCGUCAGGUGCUUGUCCGUGAGACACCUGGGACCGAGUAACACGUUUAGCGGACUACACACGUAGAAGUCCACGAAAAUCCAGAUCGGACGCGGGUUCAAUUCCCGCCGUCUCCACAA
rnacentral:tmRNA from 1 species